AUCCUUUGUGAGUGGAGAAUUUGGAAGGCUGUUCAUUCUCAAGUCAAUUAACAGCCUUCCAAAUUCUCCACUCC